rnacentral:rRNA from 1 species
CGAAGAGGGGAGAAUGGGUGAGUGAUGCUUGGGAACAUGCCUUGAGGUGGGGGACAACAGUUGGAAACGACUGCUAAUACCGCAUAAUGUCUACGGACCAAAGGGGGCUUCGGCUCUCGCCUUUAGAUUGGCCCAAGUGGGAUUAGCUAGUUGGUGAGGUAAUGGCUCACCAAGGCGACGAUCCCUAGCUGGUUUGAGAGGAUGAUCAGCCACACUGGGACUGAGACACGGCCCAGACUCCUACGGGAGGCAGCAGUGGGGAAUAUUGCACAAUGGGCGCAAGCCUGAUGCAGCCAUGCCGCGUGUGUGAAGAAGGCCUUCGGGUUGUAAAGCACUUUCAGUCAGGAGGAAAGGUUAGUAGUUAAUACCUGCUAGCUGUGACGUUACUGACAGAAGAAGCACCGGCUAACUCCGUGCCAGCAGCCGCGGUAAUACGGAGGGUGCGAGCGUUAAUCGGAAUUACUGGGCGUAAAGCGUACGCAGGCGGUUUGUUAAGCGAGAUGUGAAAGCCCCGGGCUCAACCUGGGAACUGCAUUUCGAACUGGCAAACUAGAGUGUGAUAGAGGGUGGUAGAAUUUCAGGUGUAGCGGUGAAAUGCGUAGAGAUCUGAAGGAAUACCGAUGGCGAAGGCAGCCACCUGGGUCAACACUGACGCUCAUGUACGAAAGCGUGGGGAGCAAACGGGAUUAGAUACCCCGGUAGUCCACGCCGUAAACGAUGUCUACUAGAAGCUCGGAACCUCGGUUCUGUUUUUCAAAGCUAACGCAUUAAGUAGACCGCCUGGGGAGUACGGCCGCAAGGUUAAAACUCAAAUGAAUUGACGGGGGCCCGCACAAGCGGUGGAGCAUGUGGUUUAAUUCGAUGCAACGCGAAGAACCUUACCUACACUUGACAUACAGAG